rnacentral:lncRNA from 1 species
CGGGAACGAAACAGCUGGUUUAGAAUUGAGAGAAAAGAAAAUUUUGUAGGAGGAAAUGCUUACAAAUUGACCACCUUAGCCGGGACCAUUGGAACCGUCCCAGGGCCUUGGGAAAAUGCACCACAACUAGUUCUCACCAAUGAUACUGCUAAGACCUUCCUCGUCAAAUUCCACAAAGUACAUGGUGAUACUACAUCUACUUCACGUCUGGAGAAGUUAGGUCUAGGGAUGUUCCCAUUCUACUAGUCAACAAGCUAAGAAUCAUGUAAUGUAAAGCCUGGCCUACCUGAAUUUCCAUAAAUAAAACAAAACUAUGUUUGCCAAAAAGAGACACAACUUUUCAUCAAAGCAAUGGAUUAAAAAAAGACACAAAUUCUUUCCAUAUCCUUUUUCCUUAUACAUAACUAAUCAAAGUUUAAUUGAACAUCCCAGUAGUCUCCUUCAAAAUAUACUGCUUCUCAAUACAUGUACGUAGAAGUAACUCUAAAAUAAAUAAGAAGUCAGUUGUAUAUUUGAAUUUGGCUUUUGAAACAUAAUUUAUAAAGGACCUUGAGAUAUUUUCUCAGGUUUGGGCUUAACUCGAGUUUCCAUUCGAUUGAGAUCGUAAUUCACUAUAUAUAACAGUUUGAGAUUCUAUCAGCUUUAUGUUAGUUGGGGUCCUGGGGACGUUUAUAGUUCCAAUAAACAAGAAAAGCUUCCAACUUCGAAUCCAAAACCUGUUAGUGAAAUUGUAAACUAAUGCUUUUCGCAUGAGUGAAUAAAACCCACUGAGAAUACAAAACUGAAAAUUCGUCCUGUUGUAUGGGAAAGGUCUAACUUUUUGGUAAAGUCAUUGGAAGGAGAUCAUAAGGAGCGAAAACAAACACAAAAAACAAAUUUCUCUAGCAUCAAAUAAAUAAUACAUAUAUGCAUGAUAAUUUGUCACCGAAUGUUGCCUGGUCUUUUUUUUUUACCUAGAUGAGUUCGUUGUUGAUAUAAUACUGAAUGAGAUAGAAUCUUGAGGUUUAGAGCGAUCAUGAGAAUAAACAUAUUGUGUUCAGUAUAACCGAUGGAGAAAGUGCUGACUAUUUCGUGACAAGUUGUUUUAGACUUGUAGUUGACUUUAUUCUUUUACCAAAUGCAUUUGAUGAACAUCUAACUAUCAAAGAGCAUUUCAUGAUAUAUGCAAUUUUUGCAGUUAACUUCUUUGAAGAAUACUCUGUUUUAUGGAUAACUAGUGGUCAUUCCGCGCGUAAUAUUACCUACUUAUUAAACUAUUUGUUGUAAGCCAUUGUUGUUUGUUUUCUUGGCUAUCAUUUGGACAUAAUGAGUGGGUGAAUGCUUUUGGUUGUAAUUUGUUUGCCAAAAGGUUAAUGCUGAAAGACUAUUGUAGUAGAAAUUUGAUGUGUUGUCUGUGAAAUUGUAUGAUUGGAAAAGUGCUUUAUUUUCUGCAUAUUGAGGAAAAUCAUUUUUGUUGAGGUCACUGUUCUAAAAAACGGCUUGUACGGCCGUACAUACGCCGUCUAAAUGCUGUGCGUAUGCUCUCCGUAUCGAAUUCUUCAAUUCGGUUAUAUUAUACGGCCAAACCAAAAUUCUAAACAUUUGGUAAGUCUUAAUGGGCCAGAUCAUUUUAAAGCACAAACUAGGUGAGUCAAAUAAUAAAUACUAGAUUAAUACCUGCACCUUGCGCGGAAUAAAAAUUAUAUAUAUAAAUUAUUUUAUGUAUUAUAUGUUCUUACAUAUUAUGAAAUAAUAAAUAUAUAUUAAAUAAUUAAAAGUCAGUAACUAUUACAUAUAUAAUAAAAUUGGUGCGAACGUAUAAAUCAAUUUUAUUAAUACAAACAAUUUUUAAAAAAAAUUUGAUAGGAUAUGUAAUUAAAUUUAAAUGAUAUUAACAUACAUAAUAUAUUUUUAAUAUUAAUGUCUAUUUUUUUUAAUGGUGUUUUCUACUCAUAUGUUUUUUUUGAUCAUGUGUAUCUUUAAUAGCAAAAACUUUAAAUUACUGAUAACAAAAUUUUCAUUGUGGGACUAAUAAUUUUAGUAAUUGAUAAUUUAAAAAAAUUUAUCAAUGUUAGUUCAAAACUUUUAUCAAAAAAAUUAUUCAAAGUAAAUUUUGAAACUAAAAUAUUUAUUUAUUCAAUAUGGUUUAUAGUUUAAUUUAGAAUGAUAUAUAUAUACAUAUAUAUUUUAAAUCUUAAUGAUUAAUUAAAUUAGACUUUUACUUAUAUGAUUUUGUAAUCAUUUGUAUUUUGUCAUAACAAAAAUUUUAAACCAUGGAUCGCAAAAUUUGAAUGUGAGACUUUUAACAAUUUUAGUAAUUUAUAGUCAUUUUUUAAAAUUCAAAAUAUAAAAUAUACAGAAAAAUCUAAAUUUUUAUAAUAUGGUUAUUUUGUUUUUUUUAAGUUAUUUUAAUAGUUUUAAAUUAAACAAAUUUGAUAGAAGAUACAUUUUUUUUAUCAGAUCUUUUUUAUUCAAAAUCAUUAAUUGUCAUAUAUACUUUACCCACAUUAGGCAAUUCCGUAAUCUUUAUUUAAAGAAAUAAUAAUUGACAUUAAUAAUGAAUUUAUGGUUAGUUUAAUAAAAAGUUUAUUAUAUAAUUAGAUGGACCAACCUAUUUCUCUAGUAAUUCUAAGAAUCAUCCUAGUGAUGACAUGUGGCUACAAAAAGAAGUUGUAAUGGACCAACCUAUUUCUCUAGUAAUUCUAAGAAUCAUCCUAAUGAUGACAUGUGGCUACAAAAAGAAGUUGUAAUGUUUCACAAAUAAUAUAUAGGGGAUAUAAAUUAGUUUAUAGGAUCACUUGUAAACUUGAUUUUUUUUUUCUUUUUUGGCGAUGUGGGAUUUGCAUAACCACGUCACUCUUAUAUUAUUACUUUUCAUGAAAACAUUCAGUUAUAGAGUCCCACAACAUAUUAAACUGAUGAACACUUUAGGAAUAUAUAUUUAAAUUAGUUUUCAGUUAUCUAUACACGAGAAAGGAAUAAAAUGUUAACUCAUAAAUUAUAAAAAUUAGUUUACAAAAAAAUUAUAAAAAUUAAAAUUUAUUUUUUUAUAUGUAAAUAUUGUAAUAUAAAUACAUUUAAACAGAAAAUAUAUUUACCGUAUAUACUUCAUAUAUACAUCCAUAUAGAUAACUAGGCGCUAUACGGUAAUUUGCCGCUCGGAUAGCGUAUAGCGUAUUUUAGAACACUAGUUGAGAUAAUAACUCUGGGGAGAGAGAUGCACUGGUUAGAUUUUUUUUUUUUAAACAUUAUGGGCUUUUAAGAGUGUUUUUGUUCUUCGCGCCCGAAAGAUUAUAUUUGUUUUGUUUAUCAUUUUGCACAUUUUAUAUCUUUUACGUAUUUGAGAUUUUAUUUGUGGUCAAUAUCCUUUAGACAUUAUUUUGAAAUGAUUUGCAUAUGCUUCAUCACGACAUUCAAUUUUAACAAUAAAAGAUGACAUGAAUUUGAAAAAAAUAUAUGAAAUGGCACUAAUAUAAUUGUGACAUAUACAAUCUUCCUUAUAAAACUUUAAAUAUUUUGGGUAAAAUUUUUUAAAUAUGGCAAUUACUAUUAACUUCUAUAUUAUUAUUAAUGUAAAUUUUCUAUAUAUAUAUUCAUUUUUUUGGUAAUAAUAUUAUAAUGUAUUAAUAACUAAUAACUAAUAACUCAUAACUCACAUUAAUAAAAAAUAAGAUAAAUAGUGAAUAUAGUUACAAAUAUAUUUUUUUAUGUGAACUUAUAAACUUUAUUUUGUAUAAAUAUAUAUGUUUUACCAAACAUAAUUGUAAGUGUGCAUCAACAGAUAAAAAAUUAAAACAACACUAAGCAAAUAUUUUUUUGAUAGAUAAAUGAGUAAAAUUUUAUUUAACUUUAUAUAUUCAUUAGAUUAAUUAAAAAUUUUAUUUUUCUCAAUGUAACAUAUUUUAACUAAAUAAAAAAAUAGCCAAAAUUUAUUAGAAUAUAUUUUAACAAUAAGAGAUAUAUUAAAAUAAAUAAUCAUAAAAUAUAAUAGAAUACAAUUAAAAUAUAUUUUAUAAGAGAAGUACCCUAGGAUAACACUAAAAACGUUUUUGUCACAAAUAUAGACUCUAAGGAUCAAAAUGACCAAAAUAUUUCAUUAAAAAGUUAAAUAUACAUUUAUACCCCUAGGGUUAACUAAUCCAAACCUUAAGGUUUAGAGUUAAUGGGUGGAGAUUUGAAAUUAAGGUUUAAAAUUUUAUAAAAUAAAAAAUAAAUAUUAAAAAUAAAAAUUUGAAAAAUAGUUUAAAAAAGUAUUUCGAAUUAUAAAAAGAAAAUUUGAAAAAAAUUCAAAAUUUUUUUUCAAGAAAACAUUUAUAAAAAACUUCGAAUUUAAAAACAUAUAAUCUAAAACUAUAAAAAAACAUUUUUUAUUUUUUUAUUUGUAUUUAUAUAUCCAGGGUAUUAUAGUCUUUUUACCUAUUAAAUAAAACAUUUUGGUCAUUUUUCUCCUUAGGGUCUAUUUUUGUGACAAAAACUUGAAAAUUGUCUAUUUAAGAGAAUUGCCCAUUUUAUAAUCUAAUUUUAAAUUUAUUAAAGCAUAAAUAAAUUCAAACUGAAAUAGUUAAACCAAAUCAAAAGAAAUAAGAUUACAAAAAAUACAUUUAAGGCUUUUUAAAAUCAUUGAAAUUAAAAUAUAAAAAUAAUGAUGUUCAAAUGUAAAUUAAAUUUUUCUUAUAAAAUAAAAAGAGUAUUAUACAGAAAAACUCCUAGUGUAUCAUGAAAUUAUAUAUGAAAAUAUAUUCUCAUUUUUUUAUUUUUAAAAAUUAUAUUUGAUUUUUAGCAUUCAUCUUGGUUGUAUUCUUCUAAUGAAAAUAUAUAUUUUUUUGAGACUAUUUGUGUAUUAUUAUAAUUAUUAACCGCAGAAAAAUUAUAUUUGUCUUUUAACAUUUGAAAUUAUACUAUUUUAAAAUUAUAUUUGUCUUUUAAAAUAUAUUUAUGAAAUUAUACUAUUUUAAAUUUUACCAUCUAUUUCGAUUGUAUUUUUUUUUUGUAGGGGAGUUACAUUCUUAUUUUUCGUAUUUUCUGAGAUUAUAUGUGUAUUGUUUUAUAUAUUUUAUUUAAUUUUAUGUUAAAAUUGUCAGAUUGAUGGUGGUUUAUGUGUGUGUAUUCUAUCUGUGAUUAUGAAUGUCUCUAACAAUCUUUUUAUUCAAAUAUCAUACCAAAUAUUGAAAACCACAUUGUCUUUGGCUAAUCUAGCAUGUUUAACUUCUAGAGGGUUUUUUUUCUUCUUAACCGUAAAAGGCUACGAGCAUAUUUUAGUUAAUAAUUUUUAAUAGUUUUGAUUUAUAUUUAAAUAUUAAUUAGGACGGUAGUCCAAACCAAAGCCCACUUAACCCUAAAACCCACCAGAACCAAUCUAUAUAAACAAAAAUAGCAUAUGACUUUUGAGGUUAAUAAUUUUAAUAUUAUAAAAAAAUUCAGCUUAACUCGGUACAAAUCCAAACCGUUCUAAAAUUAAUCAUUCAUAUCUUUUAUUAUUUCAAAUAUAUAUAUAUACUUUCUUUGACAUUUUAUGCAAUUUAUACAUAACAAAAUGUAUUGAAGUUUGAUGUAGCUUUUCAAUAUAUAUAGUUGUUAAUAGUGAUGAAGGCUUAAAUUUUUAUAAGAUAUUCUAAAAAACACUUCACUACAUAGAUUUAAAGUUUUCUUUAAUAUUUGAUCUAUAUUUUUGGAUAUUUGUCAACAAUCUUGGUUGUAAAUUAAUUUUGAUUGAUUAAAACAUAUUAAAAUUUUACAUUUUGGUUUAUUUUGGGUUCUGGAGUUUUUGGUUACCCGAGUUCUUCUGUAUGUAGUAUGAGCUCAGAUUUCUGAGAAGCUUGCUUACCAAUUAUUGAAAGUCGCACUGUCUUUAGCUAUUAUGUUUUAACUUCCAGAGAGCUUGUGUUAAAAAAAAAACUUCUAAAGAGUUGAUUUUAGUCUUAACAAAAAAAACUAUAAGCAUAUUCUAGUAGAUAACUUUUUAAUAGCUUUAAUUUACAUUUAGAUGUUAAUUAGGAUCGUAGUCCAAACCAAAAUCUAUUUAACCUAAAACACAUGGGAACAAAUCUAUAUAAACAAAAAAUAGCAUAUGCCUUUUGAAAUAAUAAUUUUUAUAUUAUAAGUUUUUUCAGCUUAAUUCGGUACAAAAUUUUGUAUUAUUUCAAAAUCAUUAUUUAUUUAGAUUUUACACAAUUUAUACAUAAGAAAAUGUAUUGAAGUUUGACGUAGCUUUUCUAUAUAUAUAUAGUUGUUAAUGGUGAUGAAAGCUUAAAAGCUUUAUAAGAUAUUCUAAAAUACACUUUACUACAUAGAAUUAAAGUUUCUUUAAUAUUUGAUAUAUAUUUUUUGGAUUUUGUUUUUCAAAAAUCUUGGUUGUGAAUUCAUUUUGAUUGAUUAAAACUUAAAAAAAAAAAAUUAACUUUGGUUUAUUUUGACUUUUUGAUUCCCAGAGUUCUUGUGCCAAGUUCAAAUUUUUGAGAAGCUAGUUUUAAUUUAUUUUGAGCUUAAACAUGUUAGAUGUUUCAGAAGAUCUUGUGUAGAUCCUGCUAUUGUGUUGUUCUUGGGUCUAUCGUGUUGGUUGUUAACGGCUUGCCUUAGUAACUCGAGACUUAACACCGUUAGUUUAAGGAUAUAUGCAUCAUUGCAGUGCUUUUAAGUUUUAUAUAUUAGGUUUUAUAUGAGACUGAAGAAAUGCUUGCUAUCGUGUGUCCUACUGUGUCAAAAUAGCUAUUUCGUUAUGGAGGAGGUACCAUAAAUAUAUUUACAUGACUAAGCCUUAAAAUUCCCGAAUAUCUUUUUCACAUCAUGAUCUCAUUUGUAAUAAUCACCAACCUUUUUUCGACGCUAAUUAGCUUUGCAUUCGAAAGUAGAAGCACUACGAUGGACGAUGAAAAAUAUGCUUCAACAUUCGACAUGCCAGAGCUUCACGCCUGGCCAAGCUUUGCAACAUAAUUGGAGAGGAUAAAUAUUAUGCAGAUAUGCUUUCCAGAUUUCAAGAUCACUUAUAUUCCGUGUGCUCAAAACAAGAUUUUUGAUUUUUUAGCUAGGACUGCUAGAUCCUUCCAUUGGGAGUUAUAUUUCAUUGAUUGUUCUAUUCCGGUCUGGUUACCCAGACCACCUCAAGUUUGAGUAAUAUGAUAGCCGCUCGUUGUCAAAAAAUAAAAAUAAAAUAAUCUCCCAACCCAGAAUAGUUGGAUCCCGUUAACAAUCACUAAUCUUCAUACCAAAGCACAAUCCAAGAUGAUACAAUAUUUCAUCACCAAAAUGGAAAGUUUCAUCCAGUACUUGUGCCAAAGCUAUUGCUCUAAUUCGUAGAAAUCAGAUUCAUCACCUCCCUCACAGCUUUAACCACUAAGAGAUCUCCUUGCAAUGGUUAAACAACAUCUUAGUCCUAGUGUGGUGCAGUAGCAACCAAAAAAACUAAACUUUAAUUUGUAAGCAUAAUGGAUAGAUUCUGCUCCAUUAGAUGAGCAAAGUUGGCCAGGAAAAUUUUACAUGCAGUCUCUAAUUGUUUUUGGAGCUCUUGGCCUCCACCCGAAGAAAAAUAGCAGAGAAGGGAACACAUGCAAUGAUUUAUCGAGCUCUAAUUAUCAGUGAGUAAAGUUCUUUGUUAAUCAUUAAACUUUAUGCAAUGAAUCAUUAGGAGUAAAGUUCUUUGCAAAACACAUCAGUUAUCAAGCGUAGACACUCAGGAAAAGGUAUACAGACCUCCCAAACUUUUGCGGCAAAGACCAAUGAUUAGAUUGAGUAGGAUGAGCAGUUAAAACCAAGUUAACAGUCAGGUUCUUGAGAGCAUCAAAUGCUCUCUUCAAGAAGCUUUGUAAGCAGCAAGAGCCUCUUAAGAGUCUCUUCAAUGUCGAAUUCUGUUGCUGCAGGACCUCAUCUGCAAAAAUAUCAAUCAAACAUUAAAGAGACAUAGAUAACAAAGGAAGUCAAGAUUUUGCAAGUUACUUUACCAAAAUAACUGGAGACAAUUUUUGACUUUGUGGGAUGAAAUUUAGAAAUAUUCUUAAACAGUUGAAAACAAUUAAACAAAUAAGAGCAUCAUUAUCCCUGAAACCCCAAAUUCUUAGUUUUUUUUUUUUUUUAUUUUUUUUUUAUUUUUUCGAAUUUAAAAAAAAAAACGAACCAAUCGUGAGCCGCCACGUGUUAGUGGGGCCCGCGAACAGUGUAAGAAACCCUUAAUACCGACUACUAUUUAAUAGUUUUUGUAACCGGUUUCUAAAAAAAUAAGUGGGUUCUACGCGGGACCCACACGAUAAGAAACCAUCUAGAAUCCCCGGAUAAAAAUAGAAAUCUAACCCAUAAAGUUUUUUGUUUAACUGGAUUUUUUUUGUUUAGUUGUCAGAUUGGGCCUCAUCAUGUUAAUAAAAAUUAAAUAAAAACAAAACACAAAGGAAAAGGUCCAGCCCACCGAAAAUAACCAAAUCAUUCGAAAACUAAAAAUUCCUUGCCUGCCACGUGACAUUUUUCCCCUAUGGAGAAAAAACCAACUUUAUUGUAUUAGAUUGUGUGUUUUUUGCACAUUUUGUUUCUAAUUCUAACGAAUUGGAUCAUAUUUUAAUUUGAGUUUUCUAUUAAUUGGAAAUUUCAGUUAGGUUUUUGUAUUAGAUGUUAUAGCCAAUGUUCAAUUAAAUGUUACAUUUUCAAGUAUAGGUGUAGCUUUGCAAAGUGGUAUGACAUUGCAAAAGCUAUAUUUUGACAAGUUCUCAAAAUACUUUGAACAUAUUUUUCAUUUUAUUAUUUUAAAAAUAUAUUUUUAAAAAAAUUAUAUACUCAUUCAAAAAUAAAAUAAUAAUAGUUAAUGGUGAUAAUUAAUUACAAUAAUUUUAAUUUAUUAAAAGUAAUAAUAAUAUUACUUUUAGGGGAUACGUUAAUUGAAAUAGUAAGUCGUAACUUUAGAGCAUGAUUAACCCGAACUCUUAAUUUGAAGUUCUUAACUCAUGAAUUGACAUUUUUUUUUACAUUUUUCGGUUAAGAGUCAGUUUUUAUAUCUCUUAUUUAAGAGACAGUUCUUAGUUUUUCUUAGUUAAAAGCUAAGAACCCCACUCUAAGAGCACGGAUCAAUCAAGACCUUACAUUAAUUGCAUUAAAUUGAUAAAACUAAUUUGGUGAACUUAGUUCAUAAUCAAUCGAAAAAUAAUACUAUAGGAUAUCGAAAAACAGUUUUUAUAGUAAAAAUAUCAUACACUUUAAAAAUGAAUGGAAUCAUAGGAAAAAAAAUCUAAAGCAUCAGUUGACCAUUGAUACUCCAUAGUUUACGCAGGUAACCAAUUUUGUUAGUUAUUUCUGGAUCCCAACAAAUCUUUUCUCCCACCAACUCAAAGUAUUUGUUCUCAAUUCUUUUCUUAGCAGCAGCAUCGGGCAUUCUACUACGGUAGUCUCCUGCUCUUAACUCCGCAAUGACAAGUUCAAGCAUAACUUGACAGUUUCUGUCUUUCCACAGAUACUAAAGUACAUAUUUCUAGUUGUUAACUUAAAAUAUCUCAUUUAUACAGCUGAUUACUGCAGAAAAAAUUAUAUAACAUAAUUACCUGGCCUUCACGACUGGUUUCACCAUCGAUUGUGGUUCUUGCCUCAUUGUUUGACUUACGUCCACGACGUGCUCCAUUUUGAUUUCUUGAAAUUGACAUGAUAGCUAUAAUAUAAACACAUGAAACAAGUUUUAUUAUUAACCAACACUGAUCAGUGCGUGUGUUUUUUCUUAUACACAUAAUAAAUAAUCUUAAAAGUAUAGUUUACCUGCUUCUCUUGUUUCUAGAUGUAUUAGGGUUAUAUGAAGAAAAAGCUUGAUGAACUAAUGUUAUAUAGAAAAAGACAAACCUACGUACAUUGAUAAGUUGGUUUAAAAUGUCAGUUUUCUAUAAAUUUAUUUGGUACAUUAACAUAUUAAUAUAUAUAUUUUUACCAUUUUUUAUAGUUUUCCUUUUGAUUCCUUAUCUAAUUUGACAUGGAAAAUAUUUACACUAUAUUCCUCAUAAGAAAAGGAACGUGGGGGAAUUUCUAAUUCCUACAAGUAAUAAAAUUUCCCUUUAACUGGUAACAAAAGACGGGAACUGAGAGGAACAUAGUAUUCCCUGCAAUUUUUUUCCUCAAUUGGUGUCACCAGUUGGACCCAAAGAGAAACAUGAGUGGAAUAAUAUUCAUUAUAUGAUAAAGCAUAUAUAAUUAGGGUUUAAAAGUUAGAAUUUAUGGUAAUAAUAUCUUUAAAUAAAUCUUUUUUGUUAAUAUUUCAAGAAUAUUUUUUAUAUUAAAUGAAUUAUAUUAAAUGAAUUAUUCAUUAAAGAUAACUUAGUUUUUCCAGAUUACUAUUUAUUUAGAUGUUAUUUUUAUAGUAAGAAAAUAUUUUUUCUGCUUUUUUGGAGAAUUGCUUAUUUUUUUCAUGUCUGUGUAUUUUGCAAAGUGGUCCAGUAGCGCAAACUCUAUUUUGAGAAACUCUAAAAAAUUCAAAGAUAUUUUCCAAUUUUAAAAAUUAUUAAAUAAUUACUGAAAUAAUAAUUAUAAUAAUAAUUGAUUAUAUAAUUUAAAUUCACUAAGAGUAUCUAUAUAUUUUCUGAUGAAAAUUUUAUGUGUAUGAUAAAAUUCAUUUUCAAAUAAUAUUAUAGAGUACGGAGUUUCUUAGUUUUGCUUAUACAAAAUAUCUUUGGGCAUUGUACGGAGUUUCUUAGUUUUGAUUUACCAGACUUAUCACUUAUUAUUUUUUUUUUGAUAAAUCCUAUCGACUGAUCCGGUCGGCCCUGGGAGAAACGUACUUAGUGCUACAUAAAAAAUCGUGGUAGACGUCAUUUUUAUUUUGUCUGGUAUGGUGCUUUAAAUUGACAAAAAAAGUUUUUUAAAAACAAAUUGACAGAAAAAGUUGGAAGUAGAAAUAAGAUAUUUAGAGAAUCAUUUUUUUGCUUCCAAAAUUUUUAGUUGCCAAUAUAUUAUGGGUGCACGUGCCCCCAUUGUUAUUGUCCUGGCUUGGCCACUGUCUAUACAUUCAUUGGUUGUUCAGUAUAGUCUCUUUCUGUUUGAAAUCUUGCCUGGUUCUCAGGAAUUACUUGAUCAUCCUUUAUAAGUUAGUUACAAUGGACCAUUUUGCAUGUUCCUCGUGCUGAAAAUCAAAGUUUGAUUCGGUUAACCUAUGUAGUAAAUUUUCAAUAAAUAUCUAUAUAGAAAUGAGAGACAAUCUUUUCUUUUUUACCGUCACACACGGGCAUAUAAUUUAACCGCAGAAGUUUCAUAUAAAUAUUGGUGCAACGUUUCUGCUCUCUACAGCUCAACUCAAAAGGAAACACACACAUAUUCAAAAUGAUGUCAUCAUUCCCAUUGGUCUCCUUUCUCAUCACUCUCAUGUUGGCUGCAGCUGUAUGCACCCACGGGGAAAAUCGCGUGAAUGACACCGACGGAAAUCCACUUCGAACGACUGCACAAUACUUGAUCCUACCACUCUCCCCGAGGAGUAACGGAGGUGGUCUUCUCCCAGUUCCCGUUAAACUACAGCCCCUUUGUCCACUUGGCAUCAGCCAAUCCUCGGUUAAGGCCUUACCAGGCCUACCGGUUAGCUUCUCAUAUCCAUACGCGAUCAUGGACACAUAUGUUAACGAAAUGGAAGCUAUAAACAUCGAGUUCAAGUCAGACGCAUGGCCGGGCUGCGAGGAGUUUUCCAAGUACUGGGAAGUCGAUGAAUCCUCAUCGGCUUCAGAGGAGCCUGCGAUUCUCGUCGGUGGUAAGAAGCACGAACGAAAAGAACCUUUUUACGGAGGAAUUGCUUACAAGUUGACCACCUUAACCGGAACCAUUGGAACCGUCCCCGGGCCUUGGGAAAAUGCACCACAACUAGUUCUCACCAAUGAUACUGCGAAGACCUUCCUCGUCAAAUUCCACAAGGUUCAUGGUGAUACCACGGCUACUACUUCUACUUCACGUCAGGAGAAGUUAGGUCUAAGGAUGUUCCCAUUCUAAUCA